AUUGAACGCUGGCGGCAGGCCUAACACAUGCAAGUCGAAUGGUAACAGGAAACAGCUUGCUGUUUCGCUGACGAGUGGCGGACGGGUGAGUAAUGUCUGGGAAACUGCCUGAUGGAGGGGGAUAACUACUGGAAACGGUAGCUAAUACCGCAUAACGUCGCAAGACCAAAGAGGGGGACCUUCGGGCCUCUUGCCAUCAGAUGUGCCCAGAUGGGAUUAGCUAGUAGGUGGGGUAACGGCUCACCUAGGCGACGAUCCCUAGCUGGUCUGAGAGGAUGACCAGCGCGACUGGAAGUGAGACACGGUCCAGAGUCCUACGGGAGGCAGCAGUGGGGAAUAUUGCACAAAGGGCGCAAGCCUGAUGCAGCCAUGCCGGGUGUAUGAAGAAGGCCUUCGGGUUGUAAAGUACUUUGAGCGGGGGGGAAGGGAGUAAAGUUAAUACCUUUGCUCAUUGACGGUACCCGCAGAAGAAGCACCGGCUAACUCCGUG
rnacentral:rRNA from 1 species